rnacentral:lncRNA from 1 species
AUGGUGUCAGGUUUCAGAGUAAACAGCCAAUGGGAGCACAGUUCCUGGUUCCAGACUGAGAACACCUGUGUUCCCUACACACACUCUGGCAGUUUCCAUGAUAACAAGGGUCUAGCAAGGAGCUACAUAGCAACACUCAAAUCGACCGCUCACUUAAAUCAUUUGAAGAUGAUGCGAUUGCUGUUCCUGUGUCUGCUGCUGCUGCUGCCGACCACCACUGCUGCUUCAGAUGACGUUGAAGGAUCAGCUGAUGGAGAUGUGGAUGAUGAGGAUCUCAAUGAGGACCCAGAUUUCCUUGCAAAAUAUGGUUCUGGCCUGGGUGUAGCCGGAUCGAUGGGAGAUGAGGAACGACCAGAUCACUUCAUCAUGGUCGUCAUCGUUGUAGCCGUGGCGGCGCUCACCCUUUCAGUUGCAGCAAUAGUCACCGUAAUGCUGGUAAGACGCCACAUGCGCCGUCAGCAACAAGGGGUGUACUCCGUGCCUGUGGAACAGCAUCAGAAAGGGGUCUAGAGACUGGCGACUACUCGGUCCCACGGCCGACAGCAAUCAAACGCACCACUACAGUCCUUCGACCUUCUCCACUCAUGACA